rnacentral:lncRNA from 1 species
UACGGUUAAAUGAUGAUCGUCCCUUCGAAUGCUAAGGUAUCCUCACAACUGUUGCCUUCAAUGACCUAUCGAUGACCCUACGAUGACCCUUUUGCAUCCAAAGGAUAAAACUACUUACUUCUCAAUAGUAAGGACAGUUUUACCCUCAUAAGGAUAGGAAAUGCCCAUAACGACCUUAGGAAGGUAUAACUCUCAAUUGUUGGAUCAUAACCUAAAACAUUUUCCACCCCCCACACUUUACAAAUCCUAGAAAAUCACCACUUGAUAUACAUUCAUACGAGAAUCAUUACCAAGUUACAUUUUUCUAAACCGUUUUCAAAAUCAAACGAGAUAAAUACUUUGUAUACAUUCAUACGAGAAUCAUUACAAAGUUAACUCUCUUUCCGAAAC